rnacentral:rRNA from 1 species
AUUGAACGCUGGCGGCAGGCCUAACACAUGCAAGUCGAGCGAGCGGCGGACGGGUGAGUAAUGUAUGGGGACUGCCCGAAAGAGGGGGAUAACUACUGGAAACGGUGGCUAAUACCGCAUACUGUCGGAUAACCCAUAUGGGAUUAGCUAGUAGGUCAGGUAAUGGCUUACCUAGGCGACGAUCCCUAACUGGUUUGAGAGGAUGUUCAGCCACACUGGGACUGAAGCAAGGGCGAGACUGCUACGGAGGGAGCAGUGGGGAAUAUUGCACAAUGGGCACAAGCCUGAUGAAGCCAUGCCGAGUGUAUGAAGAAGGCCCUAGGGUUGGAAAGUACUAUCAGUCGGGAGGCGUUACUCACAGAAGAAGCACCGGCUAACUCCGUGCCAGCAGCCGCGGUAAUAC